rnacentral:rRNA from 1 species
AUACGUAGGUGACAAGCGUUAUCCGGAUUUACUGGGUGUAAAGGGCGUGUAGGCGGUUUAGCAAGUCAGAAGUGAAAUUCCCGGGCUUAACUUGGGCGCUGCUUCUGAAACUGCUUUACUUGAGUGCUGGAGAGGAUAGUGGAAUUCCUAGUGUAGCGGUAAAAUGCGCAGAUAUUAGGAGGAACACCGGUGGCGAAGGCGGCUAUCUGGACAGUAACUGACGCUGAGGCGCGAAAGCACGGGGAGCAAACAGGAUUAGAUACCCUGGUAGUCCGUGCCGUAAACGACGAAUACUAGGUGUAGGGGGUAUCGACUCCCUCUGUGCCGCAGUUAACACAUUAAGUAUUCCACCUGGGGAGUACGGCCGCAAGGUUGAAACUCAAAUGAAUUGACGGGG